rnacentral:misc_RNA from 1 species
UGCAACCCUCAAGCCCAGCUUGGUCUUGGGCGUCGUUUCCCCCCGGGCGCGCCUGGAAAUCAGCGGCGGUGCAGCCCGGCGAUCGAGCGUAGUAACUAAACUCCUCGCUUCGAUUUUUCGCCCGGACGUUCCGGCCGGACAACCCCUCAUUACCCCCAAUGAUUGACCUCGGAUCAGGUAGGGAUACCCGCUGAACUUAA